UUAGGACUAGGCUAAUUCUACUUAAAUUAAUCCGAUGUAAAAAAUUGCUUCCUGAGAUGUUACUUAACUUCAGAUUAAUUAGUUCUAGACUAAUGAGUUCCAGACUAAGGUAAGUAAGGACUAACCAGUUCAUCUUUGUAAAGCCUAAUUAAAUUAACGAUGUGCACUUGGUGCUGACCUGAGGAUUCUUCAAAAACCAGGGAUGGGACACUAAUAGAUAAGCAUUGUGUGGAAUUGGAGCAAGUCACCUAAACCAAACAAUGGACUGAGAACAAAGAGCAUGGUUCAUCAACAGAAAACAAGAAAAAUAAUGCAUGGACCACCAUUUGGAAUGAAUUCAACUCAAAUGAAAAAGUAAACAGAAGGACGCUACAACAACAUCAGGUCCUGUAGAAAAACAUAAAAUAAACUUAAAGAAGACAAAUGCUGUUGCUUGUAGGGAGCGUUUCAAGACUGGUAAGACCAGAGACAGUUGAGCUUGGGGACUUGUUGACUGGGAUCAUUGAUAGCCAGCAACCCCUGGACGGUAUCCCUGAUAAUGACCAUUUGCACAGUUGAGAUAGGGGACCGUUCCAAUCUUCGUUUGGUAGGACACAUUAAUUUAAUAUGUAAUGUUGUCAGUCAACUCAUGCACUCCCAUAAUAAAAAUGUAACUCUUGAAGAAAUAAUGUUCUCUAAUGCAGCAAUGCAAUAAUUUUCUAGAGGCAGAUGAUCACCAUAGCUUAUUGGGGAUAAUACAGGAUGAAGGUCAGCCCACUACAUCUGCAGAAGCAAGGAGGGAAGAUUGUGUCACUAACUCAGGCCGGAGGACAAAGACAAAGAGGCUGAGCAUGCAUGAGAAACUGACCAUGGAAUUUCAUGAGCGCAAACUAAUGUAUUUAAAAGAAGAGCAUGAUAUGAAGAUGCAAAUCCUUCAUGUUUUGUUGGUUAUGAAUGAGGAGGAGAGAAACAUGAAGCACCAGCAGUACCAAUGUUUUUCUUGAACCAGCACCAGUUCGAGGUCCUGAUAUUUCCACUUGGGCUAUCUUUGUUGUGAGAAGUACUGCAUAGC
rnacentral:lncRNA from 1 species